GACAUACAACCUCCGUCCGGAAUUACUUGUCAUCAAAAUGGAUGAAAAUGGAUGCAUCUAGAACUAAAAUACAUCUACAUACAUCCAUUUCAAUGACAAGUAUUUCCGGACGGAGGGAGCACAAC
rfam:Triticum aestivum genome assembly, contig: Triticum_aestivum_CS42_TGACv1_scaffold_578789_7BL